rnacentral:rRNA from 1 species
AAACAUGUUUUUUUGAAAAUAAUUUAAAGUCUAAUCUGCCCACUGAUNAAAUUAUUAAAGGGCUGCAGUAUUUUGACUGUACAAAGGUAGCAUAAUCAUUAGUCUCUUAAUUGGUGACUUGUAUGAAAGAUUGGAUGAAAUAUAUACUGUCUCUAAUUAAUUUAUAAAAUUUAAUUUUUUAGUAAAAAAGCUAAAAUAAGUUUAAAAGACGAGAAGACCCUAUAGAGUUUAAUAAUUUAUUUAAUUAUUAUUAAUAUGUAAAUUUUAAAAUUAAAAUUAAAUAAAUUAUUUUGUUGGGGUGAUAGAAAAAUUAAAUUAACUUUUUUUUUUUUUUAAACAUAAAUUUAUGAAUAGAUGAUCCAUUAAUAAUGAUUAAAAGAAAAAAUUACCUUAGGGAUAACAGCGUAAUUUUUUUUUUUAGUUCAAAUAGGAAAAAAAGUUUGCGACCUCGAUGUUGGAUUAAGAUAAAAUUUAAAUGCAAAAGUUUAAAAUUUUAAUCUGUUCGAUCAUUAAAAUCUUA